UACGUAGGGUCCGAGCGUUUGUCCGGAAUUACUGGGCGUAAAGAGCUCGUAGGUGGUUUGUCGCGUUGUUCGUGAAAACCGGGGGCUUAACCCUCGGCGUGCGGGCGAUACGGGCAGACUUGAGUACUGCAGGGGAGACUGGAAUUCCUGGUGUAGCGGUGGAAUGCGCAGAUAUCAGGAGGAACACCGGUGGCGAAGGCGCUGCUCUGGGCCGAAACUGACGCUGAGGAGCGAAAGCGUGGGUAGCAAACAGG
rnacentral:rRNA from 1 species